GCAGAUUUCACCUCAGAAAGACUGUGACAUUCAGCACUGAUAUAAACAAAUUGUCUGUUUCAUAGGCUGUAAUCAAAACACAUAGGAUCAGGUGACCACAGGCUGCUCUCUGAUUGGCUGCUUCAGACUCCUCCUUCCUGACCUGAGACGACAGGUAAACAACAACUGAAGAGUUUCUCUUUCUUGUUUUUACUGGAGGUUUUCAGGACUAUUUAUGUUUUAUUUGCAUGUGGAUCAGUAAAGUGAGAGUGUGAGUGUGAGCAGCAGCUCCAGGAUGAGAGGAGUUAGCUAAUGAUCUUAUGAUGAUAAUAAAACAUGUUGAAGCUGCUGCUUCAUUAACACGUCAACACCGUCAGCAGCUGCUGGACUUUAUUCUGAAAGUCACUUCCUGUUGUCCCUGUGGGUGACUGACAGGUGUCUGGGGGUCGACUCUGAGAUGAUGUGAUCUAUGAAGUGAAGCAGGAAGCUCCAACACUUUGAUGAGAGACGACUGAGAGCUGCUGAGACCAACAGGAAACAUCUCAACACAAACCUCCUGGACAUGGACCCAAGACCAAGAAGAAGAAGAAGCAGAAGAAGAAGAAGAAGAAGAUGGAGCCGAGACCUGCCACCAGAUUUCUCUGAACUAAUGAACAAACUGUCUGAAGCUGCAGCUUCAUUCACUGAACAGUUUGACAACAAGGAACCAUGGAUGAGAUGGAUUAUUAGUAAGAUGAGGACGAUCCCUAAAGGACUGAAACAGAUUCAGGAGAAAAGAGAUCGGCAGUUUCCAACCGCUGAUGUUGCUGCUGCAGCAGUAGUUGGGAUUGCGGCUGCUUCAUUUACUGGAGGGUCUCGUUUAGCUGCUGCUGUUGUUGGUGGAGCUCUUGGUGUUGUUAUUAGUGGAGGUUUAGCUGUUGUCUACACAAACAUCACAAUAAAUAAACUAAAGAAGCAACUUUUAAAGGAGGUAGAAGAUCUGGGAGAAGAACUGAAGAAGAUCAUUGAACCAAUGAAAGAGACUCUGCAGGAAAUAAAGACGACAUGUGAAAAACUGGAACAAAAAUCAGCUGAAGCUCAAACUGAAAUCACUCUGAGAGACGUGGAGGAGUUUAAGGAGAUGCUCAGACGAGUUUCUGACCUGAAGGAGACGAGUGGAGGAACUUUCAUUUCAAACCCUGAAGAGGAUCAGAAGUUAAGAGACGUCAUCAUCCAGUCAGCUGAUCAGAGUCUGAUAGUGAUGACUGACUUUGAGAGGAUGAAGGAGGCUCUCAGAGAAUUUACAGGAAGAGACUGAGCUGCAGUUACAACAUCCAGAUGAGUUCAGAGAGAACAGGAAGUUUUUACCAACUAAAUAUAAAGACGUGUUUGAAGCAUCAGUGAUAAUAUCUGACUCUGUUCGUCUCUAGGUGGAAUAUGGGCCUCGGUUCUAGUCCAGGCGCUGAUGGAUGAGUUCAUGACAAAGUGAAUAAGAACCACUGUUAAAAAUCUCAAGCUUUUUAAGCACCUUCCAGGUGGAGAUUGACAUUUAUGCCUGAGAAAAGGGGAGGAGUUUAGCCUCAAACAGGAAGUGUCUAUUCUAGCUUUAGAUGGUUUGUUCGUUCUUUGAGCUGUACCUAAAGGCUAUGCAUCCUCAUACUUUGUGUAUUUCCUUUGAACAGAUCAUUAUGCAUUUGUUUGGUGUCAAGAAAGACUUGAGAUACUUUAAUUUGAGUGGAUGCAUUAAUAAGUAAGUUGUUUAGAACUGUACUUUAGGGCAUGUGUGGUAUUGUAUUGAUUUAUGUCUUUGUUGUCCAGAUAAUCUUUCUCCAAAUUAACGGUUAAAUGGGAUUUUAGUGUCCAGUCACCUACAUCCUCCACCAUAAACGAUCUCUGAACAUACAGCCCUUUAAUAACCACAUUUGUUUUAAUGUUUGUUUGUCAGGUUCCUCCUGCUCUGGUCCAUAGACACAAGAACAUGGACCUGAUGGUUCUGGAGUUAGUCCUGGUUUAUUCUGUUUUUAGUUGAGUUUAACCUCCAGCAGUCUGGAGACUAAAGGUUUAACUGGUGGAAUUAUUGAUUGUUUAGUUUCAACGUGGAAAUAAAUCAGCUUCAUGUUGAACCAACUCUGUCUCAGUUUGCGCUGUCCCAGGAGACUAGAGGACCUGAGUGUCCAGGGGUCAGGACCGACCGUCCACCAACGAUGGGACAGUUAAGUCUGAACCACGACUCCUCCCACCUGCAGCCAACCAAUCACAUUCAUUAUGUUGAAACUGUUAUAAAGAUGUGAAACUACUGAAAAUCAUCCUUUUCUGGGACAAACUGAACAGACAAGUACCAUGCGCAUGUAUUUCUAUGGUCCAAUACAUCUAUGAAUAAAGAGCUUAAAUCACAACAAGAAGUCGUAUGGUGUUUUUUUCCAGAGGAAUUAACGAACACGCUGAUAACAACAAACUAGUCCUGUGAGAUCACAUUAGUGCCAAACUCUGCACACAGAAAAACCAGCAUCAGCCGCAUUUACGCCACGUUCUGUCCCGCGAUAUCCCGAAGAUUUGCCUCAAAUGUCCGUCAAUCAUGUUCUUCCUUCAUCCGUCAAACCUCCAGACUAUGAAGAGAAAGUGUCCAGCAGAGUUUAAGUUAGCACGCAUGUUAGCAUGCUAAUAUCACAGCCAGUGUUACCAUUAAUGUUAAAUGUUAUCUCAACAUGUCGUGCUAACAUGCUAGGCUAACUUCAUACUGCUGUAACUCACCUUUGUAAUAAUCAUGGAUGUAGCUUUAAAUAAAGUCUGAAUCCCUUUUAAAGACAGUUUACUUUUUUUUUUUUUUUGCAAAUAGAACCAUGAUUAAGUGCGAGUUGUAAAUACAUGAAUUAAUUGUGUUGAACUAUAAUAGUGUGGUUGUGUUGUUUAACUGUAAUAGUUUUAAUAAAAGUCCAAUAAAUGAGACACAGGAUCAAACUGUGUUGAUGUUGAUCAUGUUCAGUAGAGACACAAUCAACCAUCAGCUGCUGUAUCACUUGUAUCAGGUCAUAUGAAUAAACAUGUACAGGCU